GACACAGGCAUUUGGAUCAAAACUAAGCUCACUCUUACUCUGCCUCUGCAAGCCCUCUCACAUCUUCAGAUUUUACUCUUGCAUAUCAACGAUGAUCUUCACAUCGUGCCACUGUAAGCGUUUGUCUUACCAGGUUGAAUCAAAGUAAGCCCGCUAACAUAGCUCCUGGAUCAUUAGCAUCCACCGCUGGGCUAGGCGGUUGAGCUAAAGGUGCAGCUGGUACUGGCACCGCUGGAACCAGAGCUCGAGAGCCCAUCGGGAUGGCGAUUAAUUGUUCUUUAAUGAAUUCUUUCAACCUGUAUAGACGAAGGUAAAAUCAGCCAAUCAUGGAAUGGAAGAGUUGUGUUUAUCAUGAAGUUUAGGGUUAAUUGUGUUAGCGGAAGAGACGAUUAUCAUACUCAAAUGUAAGGGUUGAAUCUCCCGAGGCUACAGUCAACCGCAGUUGGGUCCUGUCCGCUGGGUCUGUUUCAAUCCUUGCCUGCGAUUGAAGAAAAAUACGAACACGUUGAGAUGGAGAAAGAAACACCCAGGUUGGAACUUCGGAGAAAAUUACUAAAUCUCACCAAACAGAGCAUGGGUCUUGUGUUUUCUGAGUAGAAGGUUGUGCUUGCCACUAGAUUAUUAGGGUUGGGAUCCUACAUCAGACCACGUAAUUAUAUUAUAUUAAGGUCAGCAUAUGAUCACCCCGAAACUUUUAGAUAGAUAUUAUAUUAAAGGAGAUACUUACAAGCCCGGGGCAUAUCGUCACCCGGAAACUGUUGAAUAGAUUUUCCAUUUCCGGAAGAGAAAGAGGUCUUACACCUCUAACCUGCGGGAAAUUGCAGUUUCAUUUAAUGACGCAAACGAGACAUUAGUAGCGUAUGAAUUUCAUUCAGGAAUACAUACAACUUCUUGAAGUUUCAAUGGUGGUCCUGAAAGUGAUCUCCAUUGUGGGAAGAACUCUUCAGAUGUCAACUGUAGAGGUUGAAGAAACUUAUUCAAGACUGCUGGGAGGCGUAAUUUGGCACUGACCUAUAAGAGAGACGAGAAGUCAGAGAGAGGCGAACAAGAAACCCUGUCUGUAAACAAGCUAUCAUAUCGUCUUAUCCAAUGAUUCAGUAACUACCAUGCUUGUACCAAACUUGUAGGAGAAAUCCAAAACCGCAACAUCCCUGCUAGGACGGAUGUUCAUCACUUCGAGUGGACAUUGUACCUAAGACCAUAAGAAACAGGUAACAUAAAAAUUGAUAGAAAAAAUAUUAGAAGCAGUUUAACCUAUAUAUAUGUGUAUAUAUAUAAGUACCUGUGCUCGAGGAGGAAUGGUAUCAGGUACAAGAGACAGUUCCAGUUUUAAAUGAGCAGGGGGUAGUAUUAGAGCUUGAACAGACGUAAGUGGAGAAGUAACUUUAUUUCCCAAGAAGAGGACAAGUCUUCCAUGGUGUCCUCGCCAUUCAGCUUUCACACCAAUCUGAGAGAGUACCAACAUUUUUUAGAAUGUUAGAUCAUUUUUUAAAAUAGAGUAUUGUGAUCUUCACCGUUCAAAGUAGACCACAAAAAGUAAAAGUUCGCCAUAUGUGAAACAGAUAACCAAAUACAAAGAGAAAGGAGUUGACAAAAGAAGAAAUCAAACCUGAAUAUAAGGAUCCUCAUAUAAGACACCGCUAUCUUUCAAACAUAAAGCAUUGAAUCUCUCGGUGAUAUUUCCAAUCGGCUGUUUAAGAAAAGAAAAACAAAUAAGAAAACAAUAACAAGGAUCUAAAUGGAGAGUAUGAUUGCAAAAAACAAUUAGAUGUACAUAAAAGGUAAAUGGAUACUAUGUUAGAUAUGACAAGUCAGUUAUGUGCCCGCUCUUCAGAAUGUAGGAUAAUAACCUAGCAGUUAAUGCUGAACUGAGAUUAAAACGUAAGUCACUUACAAGGAAAAUGACUGAUACAGAAAAUGACUGACUUUAGAAAGUUGAAACAAUUAACUAAAGUUGUUUAGAUAUAGCAUUUCAUCAAUGUUUAUCCCCUACAAUGCCAAAGAGAGUAAAGGAAAGAGCUAAACAUACCUCAACCUUGUUUGCUUGGUCACCAAUAGGUACGAUGGCUGUGCCAUCAACUUCAUCUGGAAUUCCGUCCUCCUCUCUGUAAACACGUUGGUGGCUCCCCAUGUCUACCGCCGGAGCCUCUAUUGCCAGAGAAUCGACCAUCUCGCCAAGGAGAUCUGCUGAUGGAAUUUGUGACUGUGCUUUACUCAAAUCGCCAUUUGGCUGAGAUUGAGUCUGGGAUGCUGACUCGUGGUCCCUUGCAUAUCAACGAUGAUCUUCACAUCGUGCCACUGUAAGCGUUUGUCUUACCAGGUUGAAUCAAAGUAAGCCCGCUAACAUAGCUCCUGGAUCAUUAGCAUCCACCGCUGGGCUAGGCGGUUGAGCUAAAGGUGCAGCUGGUACUGGCACCGCUGGAACCAGAGCUCGAGAGCCCAUCGGGAUGGCGAUUAAUUGUUCUUUAAUGAAUUCUUUCAACCUGUAUAGACGAAGGUAAAAUCAGCCAAUCAUGG
rnacentral:lncRNA from 1 species